rnacentral:rRNA from 1 species
GGAUAGAGGCCUACCAUGGUGGUAACGGGUAACGGGGUGUUAGGGCACGACACCGGAGAGGGAGCCUGAGAAACGGCUACCACAUCCAAGGAUGGCAGCAGGCGCGCAAAUUACCCAAUCCCGACACGGGGAGGUAGUGACAAUAAAUAACAAUACGGGGUUCUUUCGGAUCUCGUAAUUGGAAUGAGUACAAUUUAAAUCUCUUAACGAGGAACAAUUGGAGGGCAAGUCUGGUGCCAGCAGCCGCGGUAAUUCCAGCUCCAAUAGCGUAUAUUAAAGUUGUUGCAGUUAAAAAGCUCGUAGUUGAAUUUCGGGAUUAGUAGGUUGGUCAUGCCUCUGGUAUGUACUGGUCUCACUGAUUCCUCUUUCCUUAUGAACCGUAAUGCCAUUAAUUUGGUGUUGCGGGGAAUUUGGACUGUUACUUUGAAAAAAUUAGAGUGUUUAAAGCAAGCUAACGCUUGAAUACAUUAGCAUGGAAUAAUGAAAUAGGACGUUCGAUCUUAUUUUGUUGGUUUCUAGGAUUGACGUAAUGAUUAAUAGGGAUAGUUGGGGGCAUUAGUAUUCAAUUGUCAGAGGUGAAAUUCUUGGAUUUAUUGAAGACUAACUACUGCGAAAGCAUUUGCCAAGGAUGUUUUCAUUAAUCAAGAACGAAAGUUAGGGGAUCGAAGACGAUCAGAUACCGUCGUAGUCUUAACCAUAAACUAUGCCGACUAGGGAUCGGAUG